AAAUUGAAGAGUUUGAUCAUGGCUCAGAUUGAACGCUGGCGGCAGGCCUAACACAUGCAAGUCGAGCGGUAGCACAGAGAGCUUGCUCUCGGGUGACGAGCGGCGGACGGGUGAGUAAUGUCUGGGAAACUGCCUGAUGGAGGGGGAUAACUACUGGAAACGGUAGCUAAUACCGCAUAACGUCGCAAGACCAAAGUGGGGGACCUUCGGGCCUCAUGCCAUCAGAUGUGCCCAGAUGGGAUUAGCUAGUAGGUGGGGUAACGGCUCACCUAGGCGACGAUCCCUAGCUGGUCUGAGAGGAUGACCAGCCACACUGGAACUGAGACACGGUCCAGACUCCUACGGGAGGCAGCAGUGGGGAAUAUUGCACAAUGGGCGCAAGCCUGAUGCAGCCAUGCCGCGUGUGUGAAGAAGGCCUUCGGGUUGUAAAGCACUUUCAGCGGGGAGGAAGGCGGUGAGGUUAAUAACCUCAGCGAUUGACGUUACCCGCAGAAGAAGCACCGGCUAACUCCGUGCCAGCAGCCGCGGUAAUACGGAGGGUGCAAGCGUUAAUCGGAAUUACUGGGCGUAAAGCGCACGCAGGCGGUCUGUCAAGUCGGAUGUGAAAUCCCCGGGCUCAACCUGGGAACUGCAUUCGAAACUGGCAGGCUAGAGUCUUGUAGAGGGGGGUAGAAUUCCAGGUGUAGCGGUGAAAUGCGUAGAGAUCUGGAGGAAUACCGGUGGCGAAGGCGGCCCCCUGGACAAAGACUGACGCUCAGGUGCGAAAGCGUGGGGAGCAAACAGGAUUAGAUACCCUGGUAGUCCACGCCGUAAACGAUGUCGAUUUGGAGGUUGUGCCCUUGAGGCGUGGCUUCCGGAGCUAACGCGUUAAAUCGACCGCCUGGGGAGUACGGCCGCAAGGUUAAAACUCAAAUGAAUUGACGGGGGCCCGCACAAGCGGUGGAGCAUGUGGUUUAAUUCGAUGCAACGCGAAGAACCUUACCUGGUCUUGACAUCCACAGAACUUUCCAGAGAUGGAUUGGUGCCUUCGGGAACUGUGAGACAGGUGCUGCAUGGCUGUCGUCAGCUCGUGUUGUGAAAUGUUGGGUUAAGUCCCGCAACGAGCGCAACCCUUAUCCUUUGUUGCCAGCGGUCCGGCCGGGAACUCAAAGGAGACUGCCAGUGAUAAACUGGAGGAAGGUGGGGAUGACGUCAAGUCAUCAUGGCCCUUACGACCAGGGCUACACACGUGCUACAAUGGCAUAUACAAAGAGAAGCGACCUCGCGAGAGCAAGCGGACCUCAUAAAGUAUGUCGUAGUCCGGAUUGGAGUCUGCAACUCGACUCCAUGAAGUCGGAAUCGCUAGUAAUCGUAGAUCAGAAUGCUACGGUGAAUACGUUCCCGGGCCUUGUACACACCGCCCGUCACACCAUGGGAGUGGGUUGCAAAAGAAGUAGGUAGCUUAACCUUCGGGAGGGCGCUUACCACUUUGUGAUUCAUGACUGGGGUGAAGUCGUAACAAGGUAACCGUAGGGGAACCUGCGGUUGGAUCACCUCCUUA
rnacentral:rRNA from 1 species